rnacentral:rRNA from 1 species
AGGACGAACGCUGGCGGCAUGCCUAACACAUGCAAGUCGAACGAGACCUUCGGGUCUAGUGGCGCACGGGUGCGUAACGCGUGGGAAUCUGCCCUUGGGUCCGGAAUAACAGUUAGAAAUGACUGCUAAUACCGGAUGAUGACGAAAGUCCAAAGAUUUAUCGCCCAGGGAUGAGCCCGCGUAAGAUUAGGUAGUUGGUGGGGUAAAGGCCUACCAAGCCGACGAUCUUUAGCUGGUCUGAGAGGAUGAUCAGCCACACUGGGACUGAGACACGGCCCAGACUCCUACGGGAGGCAGCAGUGGGGAAUAUUGGACAAUGGGCGAAAGCCUGAUCCAGCAAUGCCGCGUGAGUGAUGAAGGCCUUAGGGUUGUAAAGCUCUUUUACCCGGGAUGAUAAUGACAGUACCGGGAGAAUAAGCCCCGGCUAACUCCGUGCCAGCAGCCGC